rnacentral:rRNA from 1 species
UACGUAGGGCGCGAGCGUUGUCCGGAUUUAUUGGGCGUAAAGGGCUCGUAGGCGGCUUGUCGCGUCGACUGUGAAAACCCGCGGCUCAACUGCGGGCUUGCAGUCGAUACGGGCAGGCUAGAGUUCGGUAGGGGAGACUGGAAUUCACGGUGUAGCGGUGAAAUGCGUAGAUAUCGUGGAGAACACCCGUGGCGAAGGCGGGUUUCUGGCUGACAACUGACGCUGAGGUGCGAAAGCUAGGGGAGCGAACGGG